AGUAUUUUCCCUUCCUUCUAGUGGCCCGAUUCCUUCAUUUUCAGUCUUGCUCUGACUUUUUCAGUGCUAUCUAUUCCUGUUGGAUGUGCUCACUUUCAGAAGUCCCUUAUAAUGUCACUUCUAGUACCAACCCUCAAACAAAACGGUUAAGGUUCACUUGGGGCUCAUCUAGUUCUUGAUUUAGAAGCUGUCUUCCUUGCACAUCCCAGAUCCAGGGGUUAAACCAUGAUCUGCUUCUGGCCUUUGAAAAAUUUAGCUUGGCCCUGAUUUUCUUUUCUGGCCCAUUGCUUCUUUGUUCUCCUGCCUGCCGAGUUUUGCAGUUCGAAGGGAAGACUGGGCUUUACCUCCCCUGAUUGUUGGCUACAGAAACGGAUCAAGGUUGAGCAUGAGUCCGCUGCACUGGCAACACAGCUCACUUUUUGUCUUCCGUUCACUUGUCGUUCUGAUAGUGAUGGCUCUCCUAGGGUCUUGCAUAGCAGGCUAUUAAUUUUGCCCUCCUACUUGUGUUUCUCUAGAGAGUACAGGAUAGGUUCAAGAGCGUAGCCAUGUUCAGUAACUUUUGAAAUAGAGAUUUAUAGGACUUUUAUUGUUGGGCACACAUCCUCUGGCCACAUAUCCAGGAUCUAGUAAUAGAUUCCUCAAAGACAUCUUAUCUUUAGCUGUUGAUCUAGUGAUGAUAUUGUUCUGCUGUUCAGUCUACAUGGGCUGGCAUGACAUAUUUUUCCCUUCGUAUGGCUACCAUCAAUCUAUAUUUAAAAAUUCACUUAGUAUCUUGCCGAUAUCAAGAAAAUAAAGGACAAAAUACCUGUAACUUUAUGAAAAUUAAUAACUUUGUGAAAUCUAAUGAUACCAAGAAGUGGAUGAGAAUAUUGUGUCAUGACCUAUAACCUCCUGCGUUCUGCACAUCUACUAAUAAUGAGGCAUGCCACCAUAAGCCCAGAUCUGCAUGUUUGAAUGUACUCAAUAAGAAACUUUAGAAUACUCUUUCAGAGUGUAUAUUGGGUCUCUGCUUACUCUGAAAAUGCUAAAAAAGUGCAGGGAGGAAUGGUAGGGAGAGGGUGCUAAGGUGAAGUCACCAGCAUUGACUUAAUAUGUGAGAACACUGCCAUCUACCAGUUUAAUGAGGUCCUCAUCCUUUUGUGUUCUCACUGUUCGUUACAUAGAUUUUCAUUGUGGGUCCAGAACUAUUGAGUAUUUUGUUUAUAGAUCUCGCACACAUUUAGACUGUAUGUGAGAGAGUAGGAGGAAGGGGUGGGGGGCUCAUUGUUAUAACUUUCUAGGUCUUUUUGCCUCAUUACUUAGCAAAUAUUUAAUAAGUAUUCAAUAAAUAACUCAAUUACUAGGCUUCUGAUCUCAAACAAGAUGGCCAGAAAAGACUUAAACAUUGUGAAUAGUGAGAAAGGAUAGGCAAGAGUUAUGCUAAAAACUAGGGUAUAGUCUUGCGUUGACUGGAAUCCAAAGUAGAAUCUAUGUCUCUUCACCCGUUGUCUUAGAAUCACUGAAUCCUUGGGCAGAAAAAUAAUCUAGUCUAAUGUCUCCUUGUUGCUGAAAAAAGAAGGAAGUGGUCAAAUGAUCCAUUAUUUCCCAAAUGCCAAAUAUUACUGCUUCAUGCUUAUUUUCUGUGAAGGUUGAAAGGUAAAUACAAGCUCAAACAUAGUCCUUGCCAUAUAAAUGGAAAAGCUGCCAUGUAAUCAUGACACUACAGUACGGGCAACAGGCCCUGAAAUUUGGCUGUAUGAGAAGCCAAAAGAAUGAACAGGUGGACAACGUUCAUCAGACUUCUUCUAACAGAAGCCAGGCACCGACAAAGUAGACUGUGGGCUUGCUGCAGGAUCAGCAUGCAAGAUGUGGCUUGCCAGUCUCCUCCAAAUCUUUGGGAGAGAGGACACGGUAGAUCGGAGCCUUGAGCCUUGAAAUUAUUGCAGGUGCAGCAAACGAAUGAAGUUUUGCCUAAUCUACUCAGAGGAAGCAGCGCUCAAACAAGUCCUGACUUGUAUGACAUUUAAAUACAAGAAGAGAAAUUGUACAUCCAAUUGGGGCUAAGUACAACGAGCAGGUGAGGUCUAAAUGAAACACAGAAAACAAAACAAGAUGAACAACAGCAACACAUGGUGCAGGAGAUACAGACCAGUGGUAGAUAAUUUGCUAGAACAUUGGGUUCCCAGUACCGAAGAAAACGAUGGAAUACAUAGUGUUCACGUUCAGUAAUGCUGACAUAAGCCCUGAAGAUGAGAGGAUGGUGAGAGGAAUCAGAUCACCCAGGACCUGCUGGUUUGCCCAUUGACUUCUUCAACUCCUGAACCUACUGAUCUUUUAUGUAGUCCUCCAUCAUUUGUCAAACCAACUGAAGAAACACUCAGGUACCACGACCAACAAAAGUUCCAAAGCAACGAGAUUCUGCAUCUUUUAAUGAAAGAUAAAACAACAAUAUAAACAUACACAAAUUUACAGAGAAGAGGUCAACUUUGAUACAUCUGGAGUAAAAGGUGUUUUCUCAUUUAAAUAUGGUAUAAAAAUAAAUGCAAGAAACAUGAACAGACAAUGUCCAGAGAACAGAUGAAGAUGGGCGCUUGCUUAAGACUGUGGAUACACGGGUGAAAUGACACCUUCCUUCCAUGCCAAUUUAUUAUUUAAUAGAUGUGAAGCCACGUGUGUACUUAGUGAUAUAUACUUUUUUUUCUUUUACAAUUCUUCCAGUUUGUGACUGACUGAAUUUUCAGUGAACUGUGCAUCUAGCAGAAGCUUUAAGAAAAAGAGAGGAAGGGGGGACAAAUAAAGUUUUCCUUCACUUGAACUC
rnacentral:sRNA from 1 species